rnacentral:lncRNA from 1 species
CAUGGAGACCUCCAACACCGCUCUCCACUACGUGCCUCUUCUCCUGCUUAAGAACCUGGACGUCUUAGACGAGCUGGGCUUAUGGUGAAUGUGAUUGGGGACAGUCAAGGGUCUCUGAGGCCAUGCUGGAAGGUUGUUGGGUGAUGAACGAAGACAUCUGUCCUGAUCAGUCUGAAAAAUAAAAAAUCCACCUCUGUAAGGAUUUGUAACUUAUAAUGAAGUUUUGCUGCCAACAGAGCUCUUUGAAAUUGACAAGGACACUACUGUGUACACCAUCCUGAGCUCUGUCCUCCACGACCCAUACCACUUUGAGAAGCCAGAUGCUUUCCAUUCUGGCCACUUCCUGGAUUUGGAGGGCAACUUCAGGAAGCAAGAAGCCUUCAUCCUAUUCUCCAUGGGACACUACUGUGUACACCAUCCUGAGUUAUGUCCUCCAUGACACACACCACUUUGAGAAGCCAGAUGCCUUCCACCCUAGCCACUUCCUGGAUUCAGAGGGCAACUUCAGGAAGCAGGAAGUCUUCAUCUCAUCCUCCAUGG